rnacentral:rRNA from 1 species
AUCAACUUUCGAUUUGGUAGGAUAGAGGCCUACCAUGGUGGUAACGGGUAACGGGGAAUUAGGGUUCGAUUCCGGAGAGGGAGCCUGAGAAACGGCUACCACAUCCAAGGAAGGCAGCAGGCGCGCAAAUUACCCAAUCCCGACACGGGGAGGUAGUGACAAUAAAUAACAAUACGGGGCUCUUUCGGGUCUCGUAAUUGGAAUGAGUACAAUUUAAAUCCCUUAACGAGGAACAAUUGGAGGGCAAGUCUGGUGCCAGCAGCCGCGGUAAUUCCAGCUCCAAUAGCGUGUAUUAAAGUUGUUGCAGUUAAAAAGCUCGUAGUUGAAUUUCGGGAUUGGCGCAUCGGUCGUGCCUCACGGGGUAUGAACUGGUGCAGUCAAUUUCUCACCUUCUGGAGAACCGCGAUGUCCUUAAUUGGAUGCCGCGGGGAACCAGGACCUUUACUUUGAAAAAAUUAGAGUGUUUAAAGCAGGCAUUUUUGCUUGAAUACAUUAGCAUGGAAUAAUAAAAUAGGACGGCAUGGUUCUAUUUUGUUGGUUUCUAGGAUCACCGUAAUGAUUAAUAGGGAUAGUUGGGGGCAUUAGUAUUCAAUUGUCAGAGGUGAAAUUCUUGGAUUUAUUGAAGACUAACUACUGCGAAAGCAUUUGCCAAGGAUGUUUUCAUUAAUCAAGAACGAAAGUUAGGGGAUCGAAGACGAUCAGAUACCGUCGUAGUCUUAACCAUAAACUAUGCCGACUAGGGAUCGGAUGAUGUUAAUUUUUUAAUGACUCAUUCGGCGCCUUACGGGAAACCAAAGUGUUUGGGUUC